AGUUAGAAAGGGCGCACGGUGGAUGCCUUGGCACUAGGAGCCGAAGAAGGACGGGACUAACACCGAUAUGCUUUGGGGAGCUGUACGUAAGCGUUGAUCCAGAGAUUUCCGAAUGGGGGAACCCACUAUCUUUAGUCGGAUAGUAUCCUUACGUGAAUACAUAGCGUAAGGAAGGCAGACCCAGGGAACUGAAACAUCUAAGUACCUGGAGGAAGAGAAAGAAAAAUCGAUUUCCUGAGUAGCGGCGAGCGAAACGGAAAGAGCCCAAACCAAGAAGCUUGCUUCUUGGGGUUGUAGGACACUCUAUACGGAGUUACAAAAGAAAGUUAUAAAUGAAGCGGUCUGGAAAGGCCCGCCAAAGACGGUAACAGCCCGGUAGUUGAAAUGGCUUUCCCUCCAGAGUGGAUCCUGAGUACGGCGGAACACGUGAAAUUCCGUCGGAAUCCGGGAGGACCAUCUCCCAAGGCUAAAUACUCCCUAGUGACCGAUAGUGAACCAGUACCGUGAGGGAAAGGUGAAAAGCACCCCGGAAGGGGAGUGAAACAGUUCCUGAAACCGUGUGCCUACAAGUAGUUAGAGCCCGUUAAUGGGUGAUAGCGUGCCUUUUGUAGAAUGAACCGGCGAGUUACGAUUUGUUGCAAGGUUAAGCGGAAAAAGCGGAGCCGUAGCGAAAGCGAGUCUGAAUAGGGCGCAUAAGUAACAGGUCGUAGACCCGAAACCAGGUGAUCUACCCAUGUCCAGGAUGAAGGUAAGGUAAUACUUACUGGAGGUCCGAACCCACGCACGUUGAAAAGUGCGGGGAUGAGGUGUGGGUAGCGGAGAAAUUCCAAUCGAACUUGGAGAUAGCUGGUUCUCUCCGAAAUAGCUUUAGGGCUAGCCUCGAGGUAAAGAGUCAUGGAGGUAGAGCACUGUUUGGACUAGGGGCCCUUCUCGGGUUACCGAAUUCAGAUAAACUCCGAAUGCCAUGUACUUAUACUCGGGAGUCAGACUGCGAGUGAUAAGAUCCGUAGUCGAAAGGGAAACAGCCCAGACCACCAGUUAAGGUCCCCAAAUAUAUGUUAAGUGGAAAAGGAUGUGGGGUUGCUUAGACAACCAGGAUGUUGGCUUAGAAGCAGCCACCAUUGAAAGAGUGCGUAAUAGCUCACUGGUCGAGUGACCCCGCGCCGAAAAUGUACCGGGGCUAAACAUAUUACCGAAACUGUGGAUGAACCUCUUCGGAGGUUCGUGGUAGGAGAGCGUUCUAAGGGCGGUGAAGUCAGACCGGAAGGACUGGUGGAGCGCUUAGAAGUGAGAAUGCCGGUAUGAGUAGCGAAAGAAGGGUGAGAAUCCCUUCCACCGAAUAUCUAAGGUUUCCUGAGGAAGGCUCGUCCGCUCAGGGUUAGUCGGGACCUAAGCCGAGGCCGAUAGGCGUAGGCGAUGGACAACAGGUAGAGAUUCCUGUACCAGUGCUAAUUGUUUAACCGAUGGGGUGACACAGAAGGAUAGGGAAUCGCACGAAUGGAAAUGUGCGUCCAAGCAGUGAGUGUGAGAAGUAGGCAAAUCCGCUUCUCGCGAAGCAUGAGCUGUGAUGGGGAAGGAAAUUAAGUACGGAAGUUCCUGAUUUCACGCUGUCAAGA
rnacentral:rRNA from 1 species